GGGCACGGUAGCGACGAGGUCGGUAGCGAUGCUCGGUGUUGUGCGUGCAGGGGCGGGGAAGGGUAGAGGAUCGGCUCGGCGAACGGCUGGGAGGGGAGAGGCGCGGGAUCGGGACGUUCGAGGGAACGGCGUGCCGCGGCAACGAGGGAGGGGCGGCGGUGGCAGGGGUGUAGCUACUUACCAUACUCCCAGUAUACCAAAGUCCCGCGGCCGACUCGCUCCGCGGCAGAUAGCAGUCGUUGGCACACCGCCGCUUCUCACCGCCGCACGGGGAAACGGAGAAAGGAGGAGCGGGUCCCUCUCGCGAAAAUGGCAGGAAAUCGGCUCCUCCACGGCCCACGUGUUCUCUUCCUAACCGUCGUCGUAUCCGUGUGCUUCUUCGCCGUAUUCGUGAUUUCCAUCGUCGAGUUCUCGAGUUCUCGACCGACCGAUCGACCGACCGACUGGACCGAGGCUCUCUGCGGGAGAGCGAGAGAGAGAGAGAGGGGGAGAAAAAGGGAGGGAAAGAGGGGGACGAGAGGGAAGGAUAGGAAGGAGAGAGGGGGAGAGAGAGAGAGAAUCGAAGCAGCGGGACGACCGAGGGCACGAUCAUCGGGAACAGGAGGACCACGAGGAGGACGCGGUUCCGCGUUUCGUGCGGUUCCGGUCACGGCGGUCACGUGGUCGCCGAUCUCCCUGCCCUCCCCCCGACACGGCCUUCCCACCAAGGAGGGGGAGUAUCAACCGGAGGUUAGGUGGGGGCGGCGAAGGAAAGAAGCUCGACGAAGAGAGAGAGAGAGAGAGAGGGAGAGAGGGAGAGAGGGAGGGAGGGAGAUAGCAAGGGCCGGAGGACGAGGGAAGAGAGCACGUCGUUUCACGUUGACGUCGGCCGAACGAGCACGUGGGUAAGAUGGGGGCAAGAGGAACCGAAGAGGAAGGAAGGAGGAGGAGGAGGAGGGGACGCGAUCGCAACGACACGUAAGAGUAUCUAUCCGAGAAGGAAGAAAGAGAGAAAGGAGGAGAAAAAAUCGUUUUAUUACUAUCAAGAAAAUUACGUUGCAAGAGACGCCGAGUCGAUAUAUUUUCAUAAUCGUCGAAUUAUCGUUCGGUCUGCCUGGCUUGCAAAAAAGAUUACCGACAUCCGUCUACCGAUUGAUUUUCGUGGAAGGGCCACACACGCGCAACAAUAACCGACGUAACGGAUGAACAAGUUGAAAAACCGAUGUUCGUCCGUGGCAGCAGAUAUCCGCCAGGUAGGCGAACGUAUUAACGAGCCGACCGUGUUAAACACAAGACGAAUGUCGAACGUCGAGAGAGCGAGACGCGAUUCGAAACAACCGUUUCCCUCCGUCGAAAACCUUCUCGACGGAACGUGGAACCGUGUCCACCGUCCCGCUUCUCCAUCGCUUUUCCUAAGCGAGUUUCGAACGCUCGUUAGCCCGAGGAGAAUAGGAUCUCGCCGUCCUCUGUGUCCGCGGACAUAUGUCAGAAUUAAUCGCACAAUGAGCGCGGCACAGGUUGAAGAGGGAAGAGAGAGAGGGGCGACCGACGCCCAGACAGUUUUUCAAAGGUUGGGUAAAGUGGUUGAUAAAGAGGCGGCAAUCGGUUAGGCUUUUUAAGCGAGGCGCGAUGACGGCCACUUUACCUGCAGCGUGCCGGUGGCACUCGGCCCGACCGUGGUCGUCGGACAAUCGUGUUGAAAAGACGAGGAAGAGGAAGGGGAGAGAGAGGGGUUCACGGGUUGUCGCGUACGCGCGUUUGUUCUCUCGCUCUUCAAUGGCAUCCUCUCAUCCAUCGGCAUCGGUUACGGUCUCUUUUUCGAAGGAAUUUUCUUUCUUUCUUUCUUUCUCCCUCCUCGCCGUUUCUUUUCUUUCCCUUCCUUUUUUCCUUUCUCUUGAACAACUCGAGAGGAGAGGAGAGCCGCCGCAACGCACUCGACUCGUCCGGGCAUUACACUUGCAGCUAGGCGCCAUUUGUCCGCAACUUUUCACCACAGGCAUAAGGUUCCAUUAACGGGAUCUAAGCAGGAUCGAUUCGAUUCGUGCUUCUGGUUAAAUGCUCCCAGCGCGGCAGUUUAGUCCCGCGUAAAUUGUCCCCUCCCCCCUUCCUCUCCUUCUCUUUCUCCCGGUCCGUUUUUGCACGUGCGUUUAACCGUACAAAUUACACGAGCGUAGAAUCCCCUCCCCUCCCACGAAUACCGAGCCGAACCAACGCUCUCCAUGCCCCGCGGCUCGCUCGGCCGAAGAGGAAAAGCGACAGAGAGAGAGAGAGAGAGAGAAAGGUCGAAAGAGAGGAAGAUUCGAACAUGUGGCAUCAUUUGUUACGUUGCAAAGUGGGGUUGGACGCCUGUUGGACGAGCACGGUUUUAUCUAAACUCGCUUAACUCGCGUCUCUCCUUCGCGUCACGAUCGAAUACGCGUUCCGAGACAUUUAUCGUCCGCGUUAAUCCGCGUUUUCCGACUCGAAAGGAGAAGAAGAGGAGGAAAAACAACGAGUAACUUACUUCUUCUUGCCCGUAAAAUCGACGACGAAUUUGCCAAAUUGACGGCGAAUCGAAUUUGGGGGAGGAGGAAAGCGAUGGAGAGAGAGAGAGAGAGGACGCGUGGCACAGGCGCAGAUACAGUGGAUGGGGAUCUCGGUUUCCGUGGACAUAUGGUCAGCCGUGGCAAAAAAGCGGUACAGAAACGGCGACAGAAGUUGGGAGUGUCGGCGAGCGAUAUAUCAGGGCUUAAACUGUCCCGUCGUAGCAGGCAUGUCCUACGCUCCGCGCGCUAGAUCCUCCUGCACCCUGCGCCCUGGCCGAGUGGAUGGCUGGCCGGCUCGGUGAUUCGCCGGUGCGCGUAUGGCACCGCGUCCUUCCAAGCCAGGGGUGGUCGGCAUUAGUUAAUAGCAGGCCGGGAAACGCGUUAACGCGAAUACGAACGAGUGGAAGCUCUAACCGAAUGCGGUUUCCAAUCUGUUAGGCUUCGCCUCGAGUCGAUCGUAGGGGAGGAGGAGUUUUCCUCGAGGCGUGCGAGGGAGGGCGGGGGAUUGGCGAAAUUCGGUGAAAAAUUUGCAGCGAAAGCGAGCGAGCACGUAAAGGCAAAGGUAAUCAGGAGCCGAGUCCACUUCUCGUCGCCCGGAGAAAACUUCAUUACGCAUUCAGCUUGGCACCGGGAUUAUCAUAUCCAGAAGAGUCCUUUGACGAGCGGAUCCCUCCCCGAUUCCGUGAGAGCGGAAAGGAGCGUGGAAAAAUAUAAAACUCCAAGAAUCUCGGCGGGGCCCGAGUCCUAGGCGGGCCAGCUACCAGAAACGACAGACGACUUCCAGUUAGAAGAGAGCGAAACUCAUCGUGGACGCGCAAUGAAUAAAAAUCGUUUGAAGUAUCGCUAGGUGCAAAUUAACGCAUAAUCGUCAAACGUAAUGAGACCCGUCGCCCUCCGCGUAAACGAGACGAGUCGAAUCUUUCUCCGCGGCUCCACUCUUCGCCUUGCCUCGCCAAACUUUGAUUAUUUUUAUAAUAACUUUGCCCUGCAACGGUCCUUCUGGCUCUCCGUCCAUCGUCGCAGCCUCCGCCUCCGCCUCGCCCGCCUCAAAAGGGCUCGCUUCUUUUCCACGUCUUGCUGCCUUUCGUUUCGUUCGUCGACGCUACGCGAGACGGAAUAAUUACUCAUUAAAAUGCACCUGUCGCUUUUUAUGAAGAAGAAAGAGAGGAAGAGAGGAGGAGGAAAGGAUAACGAGGGCACGAGGCCCUCGAGAGCAAACGAUGCGUACGUGUUCGGCCGAUACGAUCGUCGAUCAGGAUUCAUCGAAGCGUGAGGAACAAGGCGGACGACGCGUUUAAAAGCUUUUUGCGACGGGAGAAGACGAGGAGGAAAGAGGCGAAAGGAAGAGAGAUCGCUUUUUCCACGGUGCUUACGCAACCCUUGCUCGAUGCCGAGGCACGCGGUAUCAAUUAAUUCCGUCCAUAUAUCUGGCAGGAUAGGAAUCGUGCAUUGUGACCGAGGCCGCUUUCUCGGUGACUAGGCCCGACUACUGGCGACCGACGGCCAGCCUCGUUUUCUCUCGUCACGGCACGUGCCGUGCACAAUGCCGCCGAAUGACUGCCGUGCCGCGACGACGACUUCCAUCAUCGUCCACGAUCGACAACGCUGUCGCGCCCUUUUCGCCCACCCCUCGCCCCAAAUACCAAAGACAAACAACACCACCGAUACCGAAAACCAUUUAUUCCCUCUCUCCUUGUCGUCCCUUUUAAUCGAAUAUCAUCCUUUGUCCGCCCUCCCCUCCUCUGGAUGGAGGUGGUGGGCGGGUUCCUCGCACACGCUCCUCCAACCGUCUACCUCUUUUUUAUUGCCUCUGCAAAUUAACGAGAUCGCCACAACCGAUCGUACACGACGCUUCGUGCACCGCUCUUUUCCACUCGACUCGUCCCCGUCGUAGAGGAUCCGAAUUUCGAUUCUCCGCCAAGUUUCGAGACACGAUUCAAAUUUCGGCCGAAUGCAGUGGCAGCGAUGCUUCUUGCCUCGCGGAAAGGAUUCCAGGAUUCGUGGAUUUUUAAUGCGGUCCGUUUCUUCUCCCUGCCCUCCAACGAGCGAUCACCUUGUUUGGCGUUCCGUUCCGAAGAAACCAGCCUUCCAUCUGCAUUCUACGCUCGCGAGAGAGACGCUUUUGCGAGUCUGCGCCGCGGUAUUUAUUUGGAGAAAACCGGAGAACCGAGGGGAUCCAUUAGCGAUUUACAUCGGCUCCGAUUUCCGAGCAAAAUCGUCGCUCGUCACGAUUGCCCGUCGUGAUUUCGCCGUUUCUUUCUCUUCCUCCGAAAUGGGGAGGAGAAGGGGGAGAAGGGCGAAAGGAGGAGGAAUUUCGUGAAUCGACGAGGCUCGUUGAGAUCGCGAUGAUGAUGAAUCGAGGUUCGCGCGGCCGAAAAGUUGGAGCGGCCGAUACGCAUCUGCCGCUCGAGCGGAAAAACCGCAAAGGAAUCCUCGGUUGGGAAAAACCGAAGGCGUGGCUGAUGGAUGAAGAUCGAUGCCGUGUACGCGACACAUCGUGCACCACCGCGUCGCUCGCCUCCUUUCCCCUUUCCCCGCGGCGUCAUUACACUUCAUAUUCCUCCACCGUGUCGACUUAAUGUCUUUCGACACGUGCGAGGAUCGAGGCGCGCCAGGUGGCUUCGUGGCCCACCGUUUAAAAGCCCAACCAUUUUUACGAUGGCACGCGUUCGAACCGAGAGAGAAAGAGAGAGAGUCUUCGAUAGAAAGACACUUGCGAAGAAGAGGCGCAUAAAUCGCCAAACUUUUCCAACGAAACGGGAGAAACUAUCUUAAAGCAGGGAUGGAGGAGUCGUCCAUACGUUUUCCUUCCAAUUCUUCCGCGAUUCUUCUACGACUUUGAACCCAUUUCUUCGUCGUAGCAAUCACCAUCUCAGCGAGCUUUUAACCGAUUUAUGCUCCUUAUCCCUCUCUCGAAGCAAAGGAGAGAUUCCAACGAAUCAUCGUCGAUAUUGUUUACUUCUCCCCUCCCCGAAUAAUCGUUCCUUUGUGCCCGUUUUCACCACCAACAUUCGCCGGAAUCGGAUCGUUGGAUCGAGGAGGAUCUAAAUCCACGCAGGAGCGUUCGAGCAGGGGAAGCUGUCAGGGCGCGAUUAUUGAUGACGCGCAUUGAUGACCGUCGUGAAAGAGCGCUGACCGCUGUCUUCAGCCGCUGCCGGCUAACGCGAACAUAAUGCCCGGCUUUUUCCCUCAUAAGGGAGUCCGCACGACAAUACGAUUUUCAUUUUCGGCCCGAGGGUAAAGCCCCUUCCUUCCCUCUUUUCAAUCCUCUUCCUUCGACCUCCUCCUCCUCCGGUUCACUGGUGUAUCGCGAUCAUCGUUCGACGACGCGGCUAAGUCUCCUCCUCUCGUCGCGGUUGUCGUCCCGCGAACACAUCGGAGGUAAUGGCGUGUGCCCUUUCGAAAGCCCCUCCCCGCCGUUCCACACGAUUUUGCCCCGCAUCCCCGUUAUUUAUCACUUUCCAGUGAAGUUUCCAGACUCUUCUCACACCCUCAACCUCGAGAGAAACAGAGAGAUACGCUGGAACAGAGGGGAGGAAACGAGCUGUGGACGUUUAUCCGUCAUAAAGCUCACCCCGCGUUAAGGACACGCUCUUCCGGUCAAUUGUCCUCCACAUCGACGUAUCCUGUAAUUAAUCUCGACGCGUAGAUCGAGAUCCCGAGGAAAAUGACGCGCACCGAUGCGUUUGUCUCGUCGAAUCGUAUCUCCGUUGUACUAUCCUCGCGAUACAUGCAACACGCUCUAUCUACCGAAUUUAAGAUCUAUCUUCUUCGAGGAGAAACGGAAUAGGAUCGUUCGAUAAUCAUUUCCAAUUUGAGCAAGCGAUAUUCGGAAGUGAAAUAAAGUGAAAAAAGGAAGGGAGGGAAAAAGAAAAAGUCGGGUGUGCGCGGGCAAAUAAAGCUGACGCCGAGCUGAUCGCGCUCGCACGUGUGUUUGCCGGUACCCGCGGCGCCCUGCGAGAGGUCCACGGAGCGGAACUGCGGGCAAAAGUGCGGAGAAGGUUUCGGUAUCAAGCGUAAUGGGAAGAGGUUGUUCGGGGGUCGCGUGGUUCCGAAGGGAAUAUAGGCUGACCCGUUGCGCAAAUCCGUAAGGGGGAGUCCGCGGCUACGGAAGGGAUCAGGGCCGCCACGUGACGAGCGUGUUUGCUGGGUACACAUAGCUCGGUGUUUGGUACACACGGCCUUGGAAGGCACAAUGCUCGAUGGGCUCCGCCAAAACAGCGACGCGACGCCGGCAUAAGCGAUAUUUGUGUCAGCAUAAAGGACCCCCUAAAGCCGUGUUAAAAGAACAACGUCCCCCUCCAUUUCACUCUCUCUCUCUCUCUCUUCCUCUUUUUCCCUCUCGGUCGGAUGCGUCGGAAACAGCGGGACAAAGGUGACGCGUGUCUUUUCUGCGCUUAACAGGCGCGUGGUAAGAGGAGCUUUCCUCGAUUUCGCGAAAUUUCAUUUAAGAAGAGCAAUGAAUUCCUCGUAGAAAUCCGUGUGCACUCGCGCUAUUAAGCGACGCACGCGUAAGAUAUUCCUCGAUUAACCGAUUUAUCGGCUCGUUGAUCGCAUUCCCUUCACGCGUUUGUAUUACGUAUAUACCUGGAAUUCUAUACCCUCCGCGCGUUUGCAUAUAUUCGAGCUAAUCGCGAUCGUUCCCUUUCCCCUCGCUCCUAUCCCUCCGUUCCAUUCUCUCUCCUUUUCUCUCCUCGUUUUUUCCACGCCUACCCGAAAUAUAUAUCCCAAAUAUACGCGUAAAUAUCGAGUCUCUUCAACGGACGAUCACUCCUCCGAGUCGAACGGAAGUCGAGAAAUAUUAUUCGCGGAGAGAAGGAGAACAAACGGGAAUCGGAUUAACCGGUGAACGUGGAGAGACGUCGGUGGCAGCAUAGGAUUAAUUGGUAUAGAUAGUCAGGGCAGCGGAAGACUAUGACGGCUUAACUAGAGUGCGCCAGCUCCCACGGAGAUCGGACACCAGACAAUCCUUCCUACCUCGUGGCUAGACUUAUACACCGGUGAUGCAAAGCCAGAUAUAGUUCGGACUUGCACACUCGUUUCGCUUGCGAUAAAAGUAAUAAAGGCAAAACGAUGACAUGUUUAUUGCGGAUAAUUUUUACCGACCGGCAAAUUCCUUAUCUCUCUCCACGUCUACCGUGUCUCUGGUCUAAAGUUGGAAAAAGGUUAUACGCUGCCGAUAAUGUACGUAACGUGCAGCGUGGCUUAUAUGGUCGAGGAAAAAAAGCCGACCGUUGGGAAAUAAGGAGGAGAAAAAAAGCAAAACAAAGUUUGUCCUCUUCUGGAUUAUCCAUCUGUUUAUCGCAUUCGUUUAUCGCGCGUGGGAACGUUUUUCGAACGCCGUGAGAGGAAAUGACACAAGGUAGCAGGAAAGAUGAAAAAUAAAGUUUUUUAACCCUUUCCAGCAACUCGAGAUGAUCUCGGGAUGGCUAUAUACGUUUCUCGAUAAAGAAACGAACAUCUAAGCAACGAUAUUUACGACGUAUCGAUACCGCGCUCUCGUUAAUUGAGCAUAACGUUGAAAUCUAUCGAGUUGAAACGUGGCCUCUCGAGGAUAAAAGAAAUAAGGAGGACGCGUAAACGAGAGAAAAACAAUUAAAUACGUACGAGGAAGGAUUGGGGGAUGGUGCUCGACUUCGGUGCGAAAGGGCAGCUGAAAAAAAUCCGCUUUCAAACGAGCCGGAACCCAAAGAGCGUGCCCCGCGAGGAUUUCCAGCUAAACGACCGUUGGCUAAUGUUCGCCGAGGACGAGACCCCGUACACCCGGUUUCCUACACCGACGACAGUCGCAUUAGCCACAGGACGAGGUUACAAUGGACCCCUCUGUUUUUCACGCUCCAUCGGGAUGCUGGGGUAGAGAGAAGGGGGAGAGAGAGGGCACCACCAACCCCCUCGUUCUCUUCUCGGUCAAAACCCCCUACUUAGCGGAGAAGAUUUGUGAAUCAGACCGUCAGAUAAGGGAAAAAAAUUUGACGAAUCAUCGAAUCGUCUCUUUACCUUCUCUUUUUCCGGAAAGGAAGAAUAUCGCCGUUGAAAACCUCGAUACCUCUUCCAAGGUAUAUAAAUGUGCUCGAACGAAAUACGGUAACGAGAUUCUUCUACGCAGUUACAGCGCGCUUUGGAAUAUUAUAAAUAUUUAUAGUACGCCUAGCGCGUCGUCGCGUCCGCUUCGCUCGACGAUCCACGCACGAAUAAAGAUUCGUCGUACGGCGUUCCCCUCGGCUUACGAAACGAUGAUAACAACGAUAGCGAUAUAGGUGUUGCCGCGAUUAAUUUCUCGUGCAUACGUGUACGUGUGUUUAUAUAUUUACGAAAUAGCAGAAGAGAUGUCGCGUAGAUUCGUGUUUCGAGGGAAAAAGAAAAGGGAAAAUCUUUGGAGCACGAGGAGAAUUGUUUCGAAAGUCAGAAAAAUAUUCGUCGUGGAGGAUUGGUUUUGCACACCGUCGGUGUCACGCUAAAUCUCCGGCGCAUUGUUCGCGCCCCCUCUAACCGUCACGAUUUUCCAUUGGCACCCCUCGAAAUCCAGCCAGCACAGUCAACCUCCACCCCUUAGCUCUUGCUCUUGUUGCCCUCAUCCCCCCUCGCGUCCGUCAGCUUCACCCUCGGAUUUCGUGAUCACCGCGCAACGAAUAUAUCCGUCCAAUCGAGUAGUACGACGGUUGGCAUUCGACCGGCUACACCCCACGAGAACACGUCGGUAUCUCGCUCGUCAUCCUCCUACAUGUUUCCCUCCCCUCUUCUUCUUCUCUUUUUCUUUUUUUUCCCUCCAUGUUUCUUCCCGUGUUGUAAUAGAUUUUUUCGACGCGUGUUUUCCAACGCUUUGAUUACAGAUUUUUUCUUCAAUUGCAACAAAUUUCUCGAUGAAGAGAGAAUUGUUAUCCGACACGUCUCUUCUUCUUUUUUCCGUUCCCUCCCGUGUUGCAAACGUGUUGCAAUAGAUUUUUUCGAACGCUUCGAUGAAAGAUUUUUCUUCUCGUGCAACAGAAGAGAAGAGAGAAUUGUUAAUUACCGUGGCAAACAGUGACUAUUGAGAAAUUCACCGAUUCUCCAUUAAGAUUCGCUCUUAAAUGACGAAACUUCGAGUAAAUAGCUCGCUGAUCUAUUAUUUUCGUGCAUUUUCACUCGGUGCAGCAGAUUUUACGAGGAGCAUUUCGUAAGAUUUCGGAAAUUCUCGUAUCGCGGUUGGGAAGGAAGAUAAAUCGGCGUUGGAGAAAAAUCGUUUUCCCCGGCGCGGUGGCAACGUUUCAACGUGAUAUUUCACGCGUCCGAUUGGCGUGAUUAACGGGAACGAUUAAUAAUUAAGAUCCUCGAGCGGGAUCUUCCCCCAGAAAGCCGCGGGCUUCUCUCUCUCUCUCUCUCUCUUCCUCUCUCGCUUCGCUCCGCCGGGUAAUGGCAAUUUACGCGUCCCGCGGGACCAGAUAACUUCAUAUCUUCCCGGUAAUCAUUUAUUCUCUCAAUGGGCAUGAUAUUACCAAAUUGAAUUAGAUAAGCGGUUACGUGUGUAUCUCUUCCUCCACGUGCGUGUUGCAAGAAAUUCGGGGCGAACGUUUCAAUUUUCCUUCCCGUCGUUUGAAGUCAAUUUCCAUUAUAUAUUCCCCAGACAAUCGAUAUAAAAUCUAUGAACAGAGCAUACGUACGCGCAAUCAGAGGAACGCAUUUGAGAAACUGCCUACACGACUCUUGACGAUCAUCGGCGACGAUUGAUCACGAUCACGAUUAGUCAUCCGGGAGAAGAAUCGAGAGAUCGCCCACGCGCGUAUUACGGCGAAGGAGGGGGCUCCGCUGCGUUUGAUUCGACUCGAGAUCGAACAAUGGCCUACCUGUCCACCCUACUCGUCCAUCGCCGUUCAAUACCCACUUCACCCAACGAAUAAAUUCGCAAAGAGAAAACACGGCUACCGAGCACGGCUUAUUCAAAUAAAUAAAGGGAUGGUUACGCAUACGCGCGCGGACGGAUGGGCGGACGGGUAAAUGGAGAACGUAUUGAAACUUAAACGGUGCCGCAAGUGUCGUCGAAAGUAGCACCCGUGUAUAUAUACACCGGGGGGUGGGGGAAAAUGUUUUGUUACCGGCGCGCGCGCGAUCCUACGCCACGUGGCCGAGAUUAAUGUGUUUUGAUUUUUAGACUUCGUAUUAUAGGACCUUCUCCUCUUCGUUGUGCACGCGCGCCACGCGCUCUCCACCCAUUCGUUCAUUCGCGACGGAACGAGCGACAGGAAGCGCGCGAAUUUCUACGAGGGAAACUCCAUCGAAUCGAUCUUUUUUCCUUUUCGACCUCCCCCCCGCUGAUCCCAUGUCGGGGAUGGGUAUUUAAGGGCGGAGAAAUGAGGAAGGGAACGCGCUUCCCCCGUUAUUCGCGGUGGAAGGAGAGAGGAGGAAUGAAAGAAAAGAGAGUUCGCUUUUCAGGAAGAGUUAAGAGUCAGCGUGUCGCGUGUGACGCGAAUUCCUGUUCGAGUCGCCCGCCCGCUUCCAGAAUCGAAGGGAAAAUCGAAGGGAAGGGGGUACAGGGAAACACAGCAUUCGCACGUUCGUUUCAAUUUAUCUCCGGUUUUUAACGUUUCAAUUUAAUUGACGGUACUCGAACGACAAAGAGAGGGGGGAGAGAGUCCUCUCUCUCUUCUCUCUCUCUCUCUCUCGAGAAGAGAGGGAGGAAGAGACGACCCGAUUAAUUCCUUUGUCGCCUAUCUACCGGUGGAAUAACAAACCUCUUCGGCGGACGGGAGUCGAGAGGAUACAAGGACGAUAAAAUCACGAGGGUCCACGGGACGGUGGAUAAAAAGACUGUAAAGCGAGGAGGGGACGAGAGGGAAUAUAGAGAGAGGGAAAGAGAGGAAGAGAGAGGAGGAAGGGGGAUUUUUCUGGGGGUGGCAGAGGUUUGGAAAGGAUGGAGGGAGGCGCGUCCUCCUGGCGAGUCCUCCCUUCAUUUUCCAGGAUCGGUCGCCGUCGUGAGCAGAGAGGAGGAGGAGGAGGAGGAGGAGGAAUAGCAAUUAAAAGUAUCUGGCACAAUCUUCGUUAAACUUCUUCCUCGUUGUUGGUCGGCGGAGGGAAAGGCAUUAUUAAAACGUGCCGUCGGCUGCAACCGCCGCACCUUCUGCUCACUCCCCAUGAUUUUCCUCUCCGUGUCCCCUCGCCCUCCCCCUGUCCUCGCCUCCCCUCUUCCCUAGGCUAGGACCAUCUUACGUUUUCAACUCUUUUGCAUAGAAAAUACUCUCGCAACUCCGCCGAAUAUCCGUAAAGUUGUAAGUAUCAAGCUGUUCAAAGAUUCUGACAUCCUCCUCGGGAGUGCAUACCGAGAAUUUCGCCACUUUCGUUCCGUUUCCGUUUCACUUUCCUACCUCUCCGCCUCCUUCUUACCUUCUUACCCCUCCCACCCCUCUUCCACACCCUUUUCGCAUGUAAAUUUUUCAUAGAUUCUCGCGAGAUUACAAUGUUGCGGAGAUUACAUCCAUGCGGCAACCAUCGUCGUCGAUCGGCUAAGAAAAAAGAAAAGAAAUCGAUUUCACUUCGACUUCGCUCCUCCUCGACACGUUGCAGGGAGAGGGAGGGAAUUUAAUUUCAUCCUUAGACAAUUAUUACCGCGCGGAUACUUGGAGGUAUCGACGGGGUAUCGAAGGAACGAAAGUGUUUAACGGCAUUGUUCGAGCGGAAAUCUCGAUUAUACCGUUGGCUUUCGCGCGAUAAAAUAGAAGGCGCGAAAGCGUGGCGGUUUUCUCCGUGGGGGAGGGGAGAGGGGCGAAACGUCACGGCGGAAGCCCCCGGUUUAUCGAGAAUUUUGAGAAUGGUAAUGCGGAAGAAGGCCGGGGAGAGACAUAGGGAGUAAAGGAAGACGUUGAGCGGGGUUUUGGCGGAGGAGGCGAGAGGCGUUGCGUAAGAAAGGGAGAGAAUAAGUUCUCAGGGUCUCUCCAAGUAAUCCUGCUCUCGGCACCACCGAGGUCGAGGAAUAUAUAUAUAUAUAUAUAUAAAGGAUGAAAAUACCUGGAGUUAGAGAGGUCUUACUCCGUCUCUUACUCACCCUCUUUUCACGGGAUCUCGCACCAUCCCACUCCACCCCUCGCCCCAUCACCACGCAGACCUAAAUAAGAUAGAAGUCGUCAUAUAAUUCCGCGACUAAUACCCGUCCCUGUUAAGCCCUGUCCUGUGGCCGAUUAUGCGCCGUGUCGUUCGUUUCGUCUACUUCUCUCCUCUUUAGGGAUUAAUAAAUUUCUUUAAAUUCUCUCGAACGAAUUUUGAAUUGUUCGCGUUCGAGAUCGUGGAAAGAUGAUUUUUGAAAGGACGAAAAUUACUACAAGUAUCGGAUCCAACGGAGGGAGCGGAUCGUGCGAAACUUUCGUUGCGACGACGAAAACGACAGAAACGUCGGGACACGGACGAACGAGAGGACAUUAUGUCACAGUUGCUGAGAACGGCUCUCACGUUUACGAUUGGCAAUAGUGAGAAAGCUACCCACAAUAUCGCUCGAUUAUUCCGUUAGACUCUCUUGGAAACUCACCUUGAAACGUGAGAACUUUUCUACGAUUAAAAGAUUUUCCUUUUUCUUUUCUUUUUUCAAUGCUUCGCCGGCUUCCCCGAGCUACGCAUCCGUUUACCGCGAUAAUUCGAAAAAAGAAUUCGAUGUUUAUUCGCGAGAAAUAUUACGAAUUUCUCGUUCGACUCGUAAAAAGAAAAAAAAAAGACAAGACACCGUUUCUCCUCGCUCGUCUCUUUUCCCUUGGAAACACGUCCCAAAGCACGCGUUCCCCGCUUAAAAAUAAAUUAAUUAAGAUCUAACGACGACGAUCCCAUAGCUCGGUAACACCCACUCGGGUGAAACGCAUCGUUGGGGAGAGUCGAGAUGGAGAAAAGCAAAUACUUUCGAGAGGGGGAGGGGUGGUGGCUGCCAGCUCAGCCCGAAGGGAAUGGGUAAGCGGAAGAACGAGAAAGAAUUCCGUCACGAUCUCGUCUGCGCUUGCUUUGUCCCCUGCUUUGAUUUCUUCUCUUCGGUACUCGACAACCGAGAGAGCGAAACGUCGAGUGGGGAAGAAAGAGAGAGAGCGUGGAGAGACACAGACAUCGAGAGAGAGAGGGAGAGAGGGAGAGAGAGAGAGGCUUUAGCUGGUUCGGUACCGGGAGAGUGAACGAUAUUUACAUGCGAUUUGCAUACUAGUUGAUCCCUAUUGCUUCCAUCUCCAACGAGGCAGCAGGGGCGGCGGACCUACACCCGAACCCUCCGUCAUCCCGCGUUUCUACUCCUCUUCCUCUUCCUCUCGUUCCACGAUUCCACGAGUUUUCAUCUCUAUCUCCGCCGCCUCCUCCUCCUUCACCUCCGUUCGAGACUUCGCACGUUCCCGUCGAACCGCGUAAGCGAAACCCUUAACGCUAAAAUCCGGAGCGGGGCAUUCGACGCGUUCUUCCUCGAAAUCCUCCUCGUUAUCAUCCUACACCUUAAUGAAGUGCCCUCCUCUCCCUCUCGCUUUCCUCGCUUCGUAAAUAAUCUCGCGUGACGUCUCGCGUGUAAGAAAAAUAAUAUUGGAGCGAAGGAAGAGGAAGGGGGUGAAAGAGAGGAAAGCGAUUUGGAAAUGAAUAGAGAAUGAGAUAAACGAAGAGAAACGGGAUGGAAGGAAGGGGAGUUAUCGUUAUCAAGGAGAGGAAGAGGAAGAAAAAGAAGGAGGAAGAGAAGGAGAAGAAAGGUUGGCAAGAUGUUUCCAGAUUUCGCUUAGGGAUUCGCCGACGGAUUAAAGGAAGUUGGCAGAGAGGCGUAAUCAGGUCAUAUAAAUGUGGCUGGCUAAUUGCAGAUAGUCGGUUUCACGGGGACGCGCUUGUUAAGAGAGCGGCGGAAAGGUAAGACCCAAAGGUGGUGGUGGUCUUACGUCUCCUGACGGACGAAGAAGAAAGGGAAAGGGCUUCCUCUCUCUCCGGUUUCCUAUCUCUCCGGCAAAUGGGGAAGCCAAAUUAGCCGGGAUAAUCAAGUCGGUCGGGCGUGGGAGGGUGGUAAAGUUAUACCACAAACGACCAAAAGUCGUUUUCUUCGACGACGAAGAAAUCGGCGAAAAGCUCCGUUCGAGCGGAAAACGUGGAAAAGGGAGCAUGAGUUUCUCGACAAUUCCAUCCCGAGACAGCCGCGCGAAUUUCGCUCCUCGAACUUAAUUAAAAGGACGCGAGGAGGAGAGGAAAGUUUGUAUCGAGGCUGGAGAGGAAUCUAAACCACGAUUCCACCCAUUUUUCGUCGAACGGGGGUAUAUAAGGGGGGAGGAUGAGAGAAUCUUUUUUAAGAAAACCGAGCACGGGUCCAUCCAGGAGCGGAGAAACCGAAGAUUGAUAUCUGAACAUGCUGGUGCCACGUGAGUUGCCGAGGCACGGCGUCUAAUUAACUCCGUGACUGGCUGACCCCGGGUGACCCUGGGCUCGUUGCAUGCUUCGAUGGCGCCUGUGUGUGCUUGCACAUACACGCACGUCCAUCUACGUGCACACGUGUUGCAUCGGGGGCCCCUCGCACACCUAACGGACCCGCUAUUUCGUCGUAGAUAGAGACAUCAUCGUGCCACCGACCCGCUCUACACCUUAACCUUAUACGGCCCUCUUCCUCCUCCUCCUCCUCGAUCACCAGCAUCGAAGAAUCCCUGCACGAACUCUCGAAGGACGCCACAGGGACUAGGAGGGCGGCCACGGAGAAAUUUGAGGAGAAAUUCGCGAAAAACUCUUGUCACCCUCCCCCUUCCCACGGAGGAUGACGAUGGAGGAACGACGAAACGUACCGUUAAUCCUCUUUGCCCGCGAUUUCGAAUCGCGGCUCGAAACAAAGUGAGCGAGCAAUCGAGAUCGUGCGGUUUUUCACACGGCCUCGUGUAAAACGUGCCACCAUGCCGCGUCCAAGAGAUAGACGUAUACCGUUCGCGAUGCCCUCGCGGUGUUUCGUUAAUUAAAAUGAACGAACGAACGAACGAACGAACGAGCGAGCUGGUUAAUUUUAUGCGAGUGGCGAAUCGGGCCGGCGUGCAUGGCUUUCCCAUUACCGCGCCCACCUCCCUCCUGCGUCGAUUGGUCAUUGGUGUCACAAACGAUCAUGCUCUGCUCCUCUGCCACCGUCAUCGCUGAAUAUUGACGUUGCUCCCUUCUUCCCUGUGUAAACGCCGCCGUUAUAAUACGUGUAUUUUUUAAACGCGUACCAUUAUCUUCUCCUAUGUUGGAGGGGAGAGAGAAUGAAAUCUCUUCCUUUCCCAUUGCGAAACGAAAUUACAAGAAGUAUUCGCUUAUAUUCUCCCAAAAAGCUUAUCCGCCGUUGAUGGAUGCGCGUUUGCCGCGAUGCACAGAUUCGCGGGAUUCGGUUAAAGGCGAGAAAGCGCGGGCAAAAGCGGUAUUUAAUAGCGGGCAGGAACAGUGAUACAGCGUUUAUUGCCGACAGACGCCUGGAAUUUUGAGCAGGCUCGACGACACUCGGAAUACUACCGUUUUAUUUCAUAGCCAACCCCUCGGCUCGCGCGUAAUGGCGAAUAAAUUUUAAUGAACGUCAAAAAAAUAAACACCCGGCCUCUCCGGCUGUUUAAUGGAGGUUUAAUUUGACCGGUGUUAAACGGUCACGCGAUUAACUUCCUCCUCCUCCUCCUCCUCCUACUCUUGCUACUUUUCAAAAGUAUAUCGUCAUCGAUCCUCGAACCCUACGAUAAAUAAGUCGAUACAGAGGGGGCAGAAAAGAGAGAGAGAGAGAAGAACGGUUUCGCGUGAAAUUUGAAUCGAGCCCAGAAAAUGUUUGUCGACUCUCGGAAUGGAGCGUACCAGCUACGCGUCACUCGUAUUUUUCGGAGGAAUAAAAAUUUUGUUAGCCGCUAGACCGAGCGAUUUCAAAAUUCUGAUCGGCCGCGGUGAGGGAUCGCGGGAGGGGAGGGGUGGGGAGAGUGGAGGGGGAGAGGGAUCCAGCGAGUGUGGAAAACAGGGUGUGGCGCGUGAGAGCUGGCUCACCUGAAACAACACAACGUUUUCAGAUCGCUGAUCCCAUAAGCGUCCACCGUUUGAUCCCUCCGCGUUGUUUUGCGAACGUUGCGAACGUCCCUCUGUCGGGACGUUAAUUCGCGAAAAACUAGAACCUUCGACUCGAGCAGACGCUUGCCGACUCGGUCGAACCCUCCCUCCAACGAAAACGGACGAUUCAAGAAUGAUUGAAAGAUAGGAUUUUCGAGACUCCGAUCUUCGAUAUCUUCUCGAAAACUUGGAGGAUCGCAACAUUUCACACGCUUAACGCGGCUUAACUCGCGCGAGUGUCAAGUGACGAGGUUAUCUUUUUCAAUUGCGCUUUCCAGCUGGUGGUGGGUGAGCGAACGUUUUUUUUUUUCGAGGGGUGAAAAGAAAGGCGACGUGGGGCGAGAUACUCGUGGAGCGGUGCAGAAUAGCAGAGAGAGAGAUAUAUCGUGGCGUAAUAUGCAAAGCGGAUCGGAUGUACCCGGCGGGGGGUGAAAGCGGUAGCCAAGGGGUGAUUAGCGGGACAAAAGCUGGCGCCGCUACAAGUGGAACCAAAUUGGUAGAAAAUUGAUAAUCAACCGCCAAUAUCAACCUCCAUUGGGAACCGCGUGGCUCGUUAUCCUUCGAGGAGAGGGCAAAGGAUUACGCGGAAACACGGGCGAAAUAUUUGUUUUCACGGACGCAUAUAUAUAUAUAUAUAUUAUAAAAAGACGUAUAAAAUAAGCAAGGCGAUUGAUCGUGUCUCUUGGAAAUUAAUACGUAAUAACGAUUUGAAAUAUAUUGCGCACGACACGCGUUUCACGAAAUCAUGAAAUUUCUGGGAGAAUUUACAUUGUAUUUUUAGGAAGAAGCGUCGUCUCGAGGAGAUCGGGUGAACGUAGAAAGAGGUGGGGAGGCGCGUCAAAGGAAGAAUCGAAUAGAAAAAGGGAUGAAACGUAUGGAGCGUGAACAAUAUCCCUCGUAAAGAGUCGGGGCUCGAGGCUGGCCCCUGGUAAAUGGAACACGUGUAAGGUGUCACAUCUAUCUGAAAAGUUCAUCGUUACGAAGAUACACGGAUGAAAAGAGUUUCCUAGAAUGUGAGCUAUCUUUGGAACCACCAUGGUGGCGAGUGUGUAAUCGAAGGAAUUGUAGAACACUUUUCUCAUGCAAAUACGCUCCCGAAUACGCAGACCCGUAGAAGGGACAACGAACUUCUUUCGCUCUGCUUAAAACUUCGAACUUGGGUCCUUUUAAAUUUAAAUGCUCUCCCCUGGCACGGUCGAGCAGCCGUCGCGCGUUCUUCUUCUUCUUUCCUCGCGUCGAUGUCACGAAGAUGGUAAAAAAAAAAAAAAAGAGAGAAGAAAAAAACGCCAAAGAACACGAACCGUACGAUAAUCAUCAUUUCGGAAUAAAAAAAAAAAGAAAGAAAGGAGAAACCGCUCUCUCUCUCUCUCUCUCUCUCUUUCUUUUUACAAGUCGAAUAAUAUUCACAUUGUACGCGUUCACGCGGAAUUGUAUCGCGAUUAUCUUAACAUUCGUUGCGAGAAGAAGAGAUAAGAUUUUCAGGGGAGAUGGUAAAAAAAAAAAAAAGAAAAAAAUGCUCGACGAGAGCUCGAUUCGAAGGAGAAAAAUUUUCGAGAAAUUUUUUCGAGAGACGACUUUUUUUUUGCCGACGAUCGUCGUUUUCCUGGGAAUUUUAACAAUGUACAUAAAAGAUCGCGCCCGUAUUCACGGGUUGGUAAUUAUUGAAACGAAUAAAAUUUUCACUCUGUACGUAAUAAUAAGCGGACACGCGAAUAUAACCAUAAUAAUUGCGAAAACGUGCCCCCGAAUCGUCGUAAUACAAACGUAUCAAAAAUUAUUAUUUGCCGCUCGAUGUCCAAUGACCAGAAAAAUAUUUGCCUAAAGCGCGUAUACCGUUGGAUACGGACCGCAUUUGAAAUUCGAAUUAUUAUAAUUACGGUGUGUGCGAUUAAAAAUGAGAAAGCUGGAGAGAGGAGGAUAAAGGGAUGCGUAACCUCCGCUUCGUUCGAUGAUAUAAUUAUAAAGAGUUACAUGGUAGAAUGCGUCUACGAGCUGCGCUUAUUAAACCAAAAAUUUCAUGCGCAUUAAAUUAAGAAUAGAUUGUAUGCAUUAUCGUGUAUAUCCCACAGAUAUUUUUCCCUGGUGAAUAAAAAAUGCAAAAAAAAAAAAAGAAAGAGAAAAAAAAUAAAAAAAGAAAAAAAAGAAGAAAAGAAAGAUAAUGAAUGAACGAAAAACUUGAAUUGCCUUACGCACGCGUAGUUUCGCUCGCGUAGCGUGCGUGAAAUUGUAUUUUUUUUUUUUUCUUUUCCUUUCUUUUUUUUUUUUUUUCUUUUUACCUUUUUCGAGCCACCGCUAACGAUUCCGAUAUUGACACGGGACAUAGGUUUUAAAACGAGGAAGAUCCUCCCUCCCUCUUUUGUUUCUUUUAUUUUUUAUCUAUUGUUUUUUCUUUUUUCUUUUUCCCUCCUCUCUUUUAAUAGGGCGACAAGCGCGUUAAUACACGUAUACGCGCACACGCGUGUAUUUAUAAUUCGACGGAAGAAAGAGAGGAUGAAAUAGGAAGGAAAAGCUCGUGGCGUCCGCGUGAAUGUGCAUCGUGGUUGCCGUGUCGUUGUCGAGAGAGAACGAGAGUGACAAGGUAGAAGAGAAGAGUUAUUAAAAUGUAAAUAUGAAUCGACAAUCUGUAACCCAGCGCGUCGCGUUAAGCACGUGUGGCGCUGCCGUGUAGAUAAACGUGCCUCGAAUAUUCGCGAAAGCGCGAUGACGUUCGUAAAUGGGCUCGGUGGAAAACUUAUUUCAACCAACUUUUUUAUCGCCAACAAUUCUAUCCAACCGCAUGGAACGUCAACUUUUCACGCUCGAUUUAACUUCUCGACUCGAAAAGCCUCCGUUUUUCUGCGCCAAAACGGAUAUUGAUAAAUAACGCCACCAAUUUUUAUCUCGUUAACGCGAUAAUAAACGCCUAGGCGUCGUGUAUUUUUUUUUUUUUUUUUUUUUAUAGAACGCCCUAGCGUCGUCCCUCGAUCGUCCAUUCAGGGAGGUCGCGAAUAAACAACGCUUGAUUAAUCGCGUCGCGAUUUCCCGUAAUUUCGACUCGCUCUUAUAUAUUUUUCAUUUCUCGACGGGGAUAGAUCCGAGCAUAUCGGACCAUAUUAUACGAAUCUGGUGGAAAUAAAAAUUCCUCGCCGUUCUGCUUCUGUUUUUUUUACUGGUGCCAGCCAUAAAUUUUUCUUCUCACCCCCCUCGAAACGCUUUCCUCCUGAUCUCUCUUUUUCUCUCCGUGUCGACUGGCUUCACAAAUUUAUGGACUUAUAGAUUCUUUCUCCUUCCUUCCUUUCUUUCUCCAUCCCGUGGAUUUAGCGGAGCUAGGUAGGAAUCUCGAAACCUUUUCUCCCACGUCUCUCCUACGAUUCCCUUCGAGUCUAUUCUAUAUACCCAACCGUUAUAUCAAAUAACGAAUGAUCGCAAUAAUCAUUCGCGAUCGAUAUACAUUAUCGUCGUUAUCGUAUCGUUAAUUCCAUCCUCAUUACAGCGAGUAAUAGUAAUUGCACUCGGCUGGAAGGGGGGCGAUCCCAUCCUCCCACGGAGAGGAGAUAUUUUUUUUCUUUUUUGCCAAGGCAACGAGGUAUAGUUGGGGCGUGCAAUUAUAUCCAGGAGGAUAGUAUCCGCCGGUUGGAAACAUCGAAAGCGAAAUCCCAUGGGAUGACAGUAACCACAGGCGGUUCCUUUCCAUGGCCGGUGGAAUCUCAUUCUUCGUCCCCUUUUGCUGCCAGCAUCCCCGGCCACGACCGGAGGAUCCCUACCUCCUCGAUCUUUCUCUCUCUCUCUCUCUCUCUCUCUCCCUCUGUUCCUCCGCCUCUGCUCUCCCAGUUGAUUGCUCUCUCGCGCCGCAACGGCGGCCGCGAUAGCUCAUAAAUAUUCAAUGGCCACGCGGCCAAGAUAAACUAAUUAAAACUUAGAUCUCGGUAGUCACUUUAGAUUUUUACUUACACAAGAAGCAUUUCAGCGGGGCCGGCCGACCGGCCUGCCUGCCUGCCCGCCUGCCGGCCGAGAAAAAAGUCUACACGGAGCAGGGGGAGGAGGAGGGGGAGGCAGGGGUGUCCCCCCGAAGCCGCGAAUCCGAUUCGACUGUUCGCGGCGACCGGCACGCCACAGGAAGCUCGCCAAGGAGGGGAGGAGGGUGAAGAACCUCUUGCAGGCAAAAGGACGCGCAAAGAAGAAAGCUUUACUCUGUACUUCUCAUUAAGGAAACCACGCUUUCUUUUCCAUCCAUCCUCUCUCUCUCCCUCCCCCCUUGUAGCCCUUUACGUCUUUCGAAAGGGCGUUCAUCCCCCUUUUACCGUGUCCUCCUCCUUCUCCUCGUCUUUCUUUUUCUCCAAGGCCUUAACGAGAGCCUCAGAGAAAUACGAUCGUCCAGAUUCUAACACGUUUUUAUUGCAUCUUUUAAAUUCGAUCGGCGAUUCGAAAAGAGUGGAAAUAAUUGGAGAGAGAUGGCUCGUCCAGCUUCUCAAACUUGGGGAAUCACGGGAGAACGAAACGAUACGUGGAAUCGUGUAUCCGCUCGGGAUUAUCCACGGUUGGGCUUCGAGAUAAAAAUCUCUUACGCCUUGGAGCCGAUUUCUUCCGUGGAAUCGUUCGAUGGGACGAAAAAUCAUUCCAUCGGUUUUCCGUGGGAGAAUAUUAUCGCGAGAAAGAAAAGAAAACUCUCUCUCCCUCUCUCCCCGAUCUAUGAUGCGAAGAACGAGGGCGAAGAACGUUUGUCGUCACGCUCGUCACUUGCAAUGUCGUUCACGAUCGAUCGAAGAGAGAUCCGUGAAUAAUCGGCCGGAUCCAUUAUCGCGCGUUUUUUUCCUUCAACGUCUCCGUCGCUAACGAAAUGAUUUAUUAACAACUUCGGGGGAGGGGAGGAGGCAGCGAUCUCGAUCAGAGUUUCACCCCGCAAUUUUUCGAUUCGAGCGGAUUAAACAAAGCGCGAAUCUUCCUUCUUCCGCUCUUUCUCGCCCUUCGUCUUAUCCAUGGGAAGGAAAAUCGAGUUUAAGAGAAGGUUGGCGGUUCCUUCGUUCGAGGAAAAUAGGAUGCUCGUCACCCCCCUCCGAUGAUGAUGAAGAUGCGGGCAGAGAUCGGUCGAUCCUUCGUUAGAAAUUCCGCGCAAUCAUAUUCGAGCAAAUAAUUCGUUAGGCCCUCGUUCCACGGCCUGUUCGUUAGUAUAAUUAAAAUAAAUUCAAAUGACUCUCUUGUGUCCCCCGUCUUUGGUCUCGCAGGCAUUCUCCUUCUUCUUCUGCUCUCCCUCCCGCCCCUCUCCCCCUUCUUUCUUCAGCUUGUUCUUCUUAAAUCCGUUGAUUAGUGCAAAAAUCCGCUUACAAAUUAAGCGGAGCCUCGUGGCUGUGCCUCCAAACUCCCUCGAGGACUCUCCUCGGGAAGGACGCAGGAGGAAUCUCCGAACUCCCUCCGGAGGAACGGAGAGAAAGAGAGAGAGAAAGAGGAGGAUGGAAGGGAAAGAAGGCUGAAAGAAGGGUGAGUACUUUAAUAUCUUAAGUAAACCUGGCGCGGGAUAAAGAAGAGGGAAAAAAAAAAAUAACUCCUGCCGAGACGAGAACUGUGGAAAGGAAGCGGGGCGGUACGCGAAAACAUGCGCGACGAAUUAAAAUACGAAUCGAGGGAGAGAGGAGGAAUCUGGAUGUCGGAGUUUCAGCGCGGAAAAUAUUUGCUUUUUCGUUUCCUUCCAGCUCGGGUUGGAGAAGCUAAAAAAAAAAAAAGUAGCGAAAGAUUAAUGCUACAAAUUUGGAAAUCUUCUCGAACGAGUGGUUGGCGAGACAAGUGUAACAAAUUUACACUCACUCUUACCCCUCCCCCUCGCGAUUCGAGAAAGAAUAUAUUCGGGAACGCGGUGAAACGUGUCGAAAUUCGACAGAUCUACCCCCUUAAGAGGGCAUCGUUAGGGUUGUUCCGAUUCCCGUGACUCAUCCGCGUAGGACUCGAUAUAUCGGGCGAGAGAGAGAGAGAGAGACCUCGCACACGCGUCCGAUUUCACCAUAAAACGUGCACGCUCCUCCGAUCCCGGUGUGUUUGAAUGUGGGCGGGGUGGGUUGCCAUUUGCAAUGCAAACGAUAACACAGCGUAUCGCACGAAAACGCGCACACAGGCACACAGAGGUUCCCGCAAACGGAACGGGGUACCGAAGAGAGAGAGAGAGAGGAAAGGACACGGAAAGAAUCGAAAGAGAAUCGUUUGCCGAGAUUCCGCGCCGCCGAUCACCUCUUUCUCGCUACGUUUCCGCGGAAUCAUAUUCCCCAAAACGUGUACAAAACAAAGUGCUGCACUACUACGCCACUGCUACGGAACGAGGCUACGAAUGAUCGUGCAGAAAUUGGAAUUUUCUCCGUCGGACUUUAUCGGGAAAUAAAUAGAACAAAAAUUUUUCUCUGGAAGAAAUUUUAUCGUUAGGAGAAAGAAAAUUGCAACGAGCCAAGCAAAAAAAAAAAAAGAAAGAAAGAAAACCUCUGCCAACGGCAACGGGUUCCCAUAUAAUCCGUUUCGGUUAGUUUCACGCGAAGAGCGAGAAGUUUCUCGCCCAUCGAUCAGCGGAACGAGGUGGAAGCUCUUUUUUUUUCCGGCACGUAGCUCAUUUCAUUUACUCGAGGAGCACAGAAGUAUACACAAAUAUACAUAUAUAUACAUAUACACAUAUAUAUACAUAUAUAUAUAUAUAGAGAGAGAGAGAGAGGGGGAGGGAGAAAACGGUAUCGAGCCGGCAAUCUCUGCGAAGUCGGCGGCCACGCGAAGAGGGAACCCCGUUGGUUGGCGAGCUUACGCAACGCGAGGGGGCGGCAGGCAAGUGGUAGCUGGAGGAGGAGGGGGAGGCCACCGAAUGCCGUUCCAUGGCACGCGGAACACGGAAUAUCCGUUUUAGAAAUGAGCUUACUUUAAGGCCGUCCAACGACCCGCCUUCCUGCGGGAUCCCUCCGCGCGAUGGAGAUCGGUAAUUAAUCAUUUAGGAAGCUGGCCUGGCCUCUCGGUCGCGCGGCCGAGGGGUGAGGCCGCUGCCUUCGGAGGCAGGGGUUAAACGGAAUAAAAGGCAAGCUCGUGUGUACACGACCGGCACGGCCGAGGAAACGCCAAAUGGCCAGCGCCGACUGAGAUUGGCUUCGGCCACGAACGCCGCCGUUCCGGCUUACGUAGAACUGGGGCUUCCUUUACAUACGUACCACCUACCCCACUGGCGUAGAAGCGGCUCCCUCGCGCGCGCGCCCAUACACGCAAAUCCUUUCCAAAUCUCUCGUUUUCCUACAUUUCUCGAAAAAGUUCGAGAAAGAAGGGGAAACCGUGCGAUAGAAAAUUUACGGGUUGAAUUCACGACCGAGAUGGAAAGAGAGGUAUGUGAAGGUUAUUCGCGAGGAAGGGGGAGGAAAGGUGGGAGGAGGGGGAGAGUUGGAGUAAUUUGUUGGCGCGGUUAUAUCGGUACGAUUAAAAUAGCCGCGAUGCGGGUUAAAGGGAAGAAGGGGGUUAAUAUCGGGGUCCUACGACAUUGCACCCUCUCGUGCGUAGGACGAAAGUACGUCCCCGCUAACUACUCCGUACGAGUGUAAGUACGUAAACCGUGUAUCCUACGUAUGUUCCAGUCGUUAUCGCAAUCUCGACCCCGUUUGAUAUAACAGUCACUGUGACGACUAUCGUCUUCCGACACGCGAGGCCGUUGCAGGGUUUUACACACCCUGCACGGACCUCUAUGAAAUUGUUACAAUAGGUGGAGUAACUAACGGCGACGGCGAUAACGGCGAUCUAACGACCAUCGUUUGAUACCGCCCCGACUCGUGGAACGCCAAAAGGACAAAGGUUCUUUUCCCUCCCCCCUUUCUCAACCCCCUUUCCUUGUAAAAAUAACAGGAAAAUAGGAGAAACUCUUGCAAUCCUUGCCGCCGGUUUAUCGAGAUUUAACGAAAUCGUGAAAAAUCGGUCGAGGCGAUGGCCGAAAACGCGGUUUUUCAUUCACGCGCGAAGAUGCUCGCGAUAGUAACUCGCUCGCUAAAUCGAUUGAAAGUACAAUGGCGGAGAUAAUUAAGCGGGCGGCGAAGAUAAUUAACCGCCAUUCUUUAUAAAUUAUUAUAUUCUCGCGGAGAGAACGGUAACGAAACAUUUAUACACGAGAUAUUAUAAUUAUCCGCUGUAUCGGUGUAUAUACAACGUUAUUUAUCGAGCUCAUAAUUCGCGACCAGCAUCCACGCCGAAAAUUCGAAAAUUUCCAUUCCCUCCGCGCGGGAUCGCGAAAUCUCGCAACGGGGGAAUAAAAUUGCGACGGUCAAGUGUCGGACUCGGGCAUCAAUUAACAGGGGCAGAGAUAGAUAACAAUUAGCCGGGGAUAGGACAGACCCCAUGGGGUCGGAGUCGGUUGAUGCGAAGACGAAGAAGGGCGGAGAUGCAAGACACUGGGAGGGGAGAGGAAGGUUGACACUACCGUGUCAAGAUCCAUAAACGCGGCUACAGUUCCAGAACUGUUAGAAGGUGCUAACGAGCGUUCCCUCGCUCGAUUCGAUCCUUCGAAUCCCGAAGGCAAUGUCCCAAGGGCCACCAUUACCGUUGCCUUCGCUGUCCUCGCCAUUAUCCACCACACCCUCCCGGAUCUCCAUCGAGAACCACCUCGAAUCACGGUCCUCCUCGUUAACCUCCUCGAAACGAUCUCUUUCCAACCGUUUCUCCCCUUCUUGCCUUUGUUUUCCGCCUCCCGUCUCUCCUCCUCUUAUCUCGUCAAAUUUCCUCUCUCUCCUCUCCCUCUCCCUCUCCUCUCCUUCCUCUCCUUCCUAAGCUUUGGACCUUGGAGAAAAGAGGAAGAGUUAAAAAAAGGGAGAAGGAAGGAGUGACGAUUAAGAAUAGGAGAAAGGACAGGUUGAACGGUAAAACUGGUUCAACUAUCUCUUAAGUAUGUUUUUACAAAUAGCAACGGAGUAUUCCGACGAAUGAAACCCGAUCGAGUUUCCCGCUUGCAAAAACAAGCCGCUCGUGUUUUCGCGCAAUGAUCGGUCCACCGUGAAUCGGAACCCACCGCGUACCUUCUGUUUUUGCACGUAGUGUGGAACAACAGUUUCCCCAUUCCCCCCUCCCGCAUAACUAAAACCGCAGUAGGGUAUUAUUUCGCGUGCUCGUGUAAAAAUAUACAAUCGAGCGCGCUCGAUCGAGCACGAAAUGGAAUGCCCGCCGCCGGAAACACCUUUCGGCACCACCCCCUCGCCAAUUUUUCCACCUCGAGUCUCCUUCGAAAACGGGCAUCUCUUCGACCCUGCUCUUUUUAAAUCGAUUAAUUAACGAUCGAGUUUCAAGAGGGCGAGGGAGAGGAGCAACAGGGUUUUUGAUUCGCCGCGUUUUCCGCAGCGAUAAAGUCUAAAAAUAAAACGCGUGUUCCAGGAAACGAGACGUACGAGACGUUUCUCAUUACGCUCGUUGUAUUACGUUUCGCAUUAGUUCCAGCCGGUCUAAUUGCCGCUACGAUGUACCAGCGAUGAUUACGUUCGCCGAUAACGGAUUUGAUUAUAACUGUUAAUUCGUUGCGUACCACGAUUACGUAUCGAGAUUAUAACUAAUUAUUGACUUAAAUAAUACACGGGAUAUAGCCCGAGUUCCCUCGAGAGCCGAGUUCCCCCUCGACAAUACUUCCAAUUUCUCACGCGGAUGCGUAGCACGCACCGUGAACGUUUCAAUUAAUCUGUUAAGUACGUUGAACCGUUUUUCUUUUUUUUCCUUUUUUUUUUUUAAUCUUCUUUCCUUUCUCUCUUUCUUCCGUCGAGGCAAGAAGUACGGUCGUCUCUACGACAAUUCUCCGAGUUUCGAUUGAAGAAACGGAGAAUCGCGAUCCACGGGGCUACGAUCGCGACAGGAGGAUGGAGCGGAAAAAGGAAGAAACUCAAAAAUCGAAGAAGAAGAAGAAGAAGAAGAAGAAGAACAAGGAGAAGAAGAAGUGAAACUGGAACGGGAACGGAAGCGGCGUCGUAAAUCACCGACAGUGCGGAAUAACUGGCAAAAGCGCGAUAAAUCAGGGAUCCGAGGGCAACCGAAUUAGGAAAUUGGCUGCUUAAAAACCGCAAUGACGUUAAUCCCAGCGUGGCGGCAGCUAGAGAGAUUCAGGCUACCACGUUCGCCACUCGCGCCAUCGCAAUCCGGAGGGGGAGGGGGGGGAGGGAGAAAAUAAAACUGAUCCGGCCAAGGAGCGGUUCCGUAUCGCGGCUGUGCCGGGUGGAAUAAUGCGGAAUAAAAUCAACGUAACUCAAUCGCGGUUGUCUUUCGAGAUCAGCCUCCCCGUCUUGGCCGCUGAUAAAUGUUCGAUACCGACUACCUGUACACGAACGCCCGUCCCUCUAAUUCCCCGUCGACCUCGACGCUCUGUCGGAGCAAGGAAGCGAUAAAGCUUCGGCGUCCAAAAAAUCUUUCCCAGAAAUUUAUCACCGUUCGACGUCUCUGGCAUGCGAGGCAACCGCGUUUCAGUCCCCUCCCCUCCUCUCUCUCUCUCUCUCUGUACUUCUGCAUACCGUAUUAUGCGUUUCCGCGAUCUCGCGGGGUACAGCCGUGAAAUACGAGCAGAAAAAUAUCGUCGCGAAGAUGAAGAAUCUCUCCACCGUUGGUCGAAAACAUUCUCUAAGGAACUCGAGGGAGGAAGGAAGAAAGGAGGGAAGGAAGGAAGGAAGAAACGAUUCGCGUGUAAUAUCAACGCCAUCAAAGCCGAGUCGGUUCAAUUAAUCGGGGGAGGGGGAGGGGACUGUUAAUAGCGGAUAAUUAUUGGGCAGAUUUUCAGUCGAGGCGACAAUGGGCCUGAAUUAACGUGGAACCGCGCAACGACUUCCCUUCAGGAAUAUGGAACGGUCCGCUAAUGAGUUUCGCCUCGCGGCGAACUCGGCCGAGCGCGUAGAAAUCGCGUUACCGACCCGUGAGAGUGUAUCGGCGAACGAGCAUAAGCAUAAGCGCGCGACGCGGGACAUACAUAGGAUCGAUGUGAUCGAUUACGACGGUGACGUUGGUCCGCGGGCGUAAAUAGGAGGGCACGAAUCGUGACCAGGACAAACGAACCGGGAACGGACGGACAGAGGCGACCGGGGCAGAGUUGACAAGCGCCAAUAGACGGGCAUUCCGCCUCAACGCAUUAAUCGAGUUAUUAAUUAUGUAGUCUCAUGCUAAUUGUGCCUGUAAUCUGCCCGCGAUGGCCGUAAAAUAUCCAUUCGAUUUACGUUUCGAUGGAUUCGAGAGUUUGGGCGUAAAUGAUCCGUGCUUGUUUCAACCUGUUCCGAUCACCCCUCCUCCUCCCCCCUCUACGCGAUUCGAAACGCGUCAUUGUGCUUCUUGCGCGACACGAACCGUAUUUCCUCUCCUCGCCGAUUAAUAAACUGCUCUAUUCUUCGAUUGAAUAAUAAUCCGAUGGCCCAUAAUCGCGCUGGGGAAAAAAGAAACGUCAUCUAUUACCGCCCGAUAAUAAACUUCUCGUGGAAAUUUUUUCAACGUGAACGAGAGGACGAGCUGGUUUGACCAGAAACGCGAGUUUAGCUCGUGGACGCGGAGGACGACCGAUAAAGAGGCGAAAUAGAGGAAGGUGAAUGGUCGUCGCGAGGGCUCGUUGGAGAAAUCCCGAUGGCACCUGUCGUGUAAUCAAGAUGCGCGCAAGUAUAGCCGUGGGUAUAGAAAUGAAACGUACGCUCGGUUUUCUGGGAUGGGGUGCGUGCAAGAAGCCGCGCUACGGUUAUUACACGCGUCACGCGGCACACCACGGUCACGCACCCUCCCCAUUCCCGAGCUCCCUCCAACGGGGAAACGACGGGGUCUUAUCGUCGCUCUUUAUCUUGUCAACCGAAGGGGCAGCCCCAUUACGCCACUUACGGGGCACCAAGUCGCGCGCUCACCUCCUUUCAGAAAAGAGGGCAGAGGGAACUGCUAAAACUUGAACAACCUCGACCGGAACUUGCACGCGAACCAAGAUGUUGCCGCGACAAGAAAACGACACCACCUGCGAUCCUACUCGGCGAUAAAUCGACUUACAAAUAUCGGCUGAACCGAUACUUCUUCCAACCGUCCCCGAUUUUCUGUUUCUAUUAAUCGAAUUCGAAUCGUCGUUCAAUCGCGGAUUACGACCUGGAGUGAUUAUAAUUAAUAUCGUUCGAUGUUAAUCACAAAAAACUAUCGCUGCGAUAAUUGAUCCCGCAUCAUCGCCGUUGAAAUGCUGGUUUGUUAUUACGUAAUGAACAUAUGAUGGCGAACAAUUUAAAAUCUCCCUUUUAUCGACCGAUUUCUACGUUUCACUAUCGGAGGAUCGUCGUUACGUUAUCGGUCAUCGAGUAACGAACGGUAUUAAAUAAUUACGCUUGACGUUUUUUUUUCCUUUUCUCUUUUUUUUUUUUUCUUUUUUAACAAUCGAUCGAUAACGAGCUGGAAUAAUGAACGAGAAUAAAUUGCACGUUGUUACGACACGUUUAAGCAUACCUAAAUAUUAAUAACUAGGUUCGCUACGAGAUAUCGGCUUGAUACAGAGCAUGUAUUUACGACGCGAGAUAACACCUGCGCUAUCGAUACCAAUCUAUCGACAUUCGUUCUUCCCUCUUUUUCCCGUACGGCAUUUGCCGUUCACGUUCCUUUUAACGUAACAGAAAUCAAUUAGCAUUACAUUCCACUCGGUGCCGAACAUCGAGUAACGUCGUGACAUUUUUUAACGAAUCUUCUCCAACCAACGAGCAUCGCAUAAAUCGUGGAAACUAUAUCGUGGAACGAGAAACAAUUCGACGUAGAAAGAACAGAGAAGAAAGAAGCAGCAAGAAGAAGCUCAAAAUGACAGUAUACGUAUAUAUAUAUAUAUAUAUAACGAAAGAGCUGUAGCAAACGACCCCGAAGGUUGACUCGAUCCAGACGGGAGGAAAUUUCUCGAGCGUGGAAAAGAAGAUGGUCGAUCCAUACGGAGGGAAACGUACGAAGUGGACGAUAUAGGUUAUCCGAUAUAUACGUAGGGCUUGAUAUAGCGUGCCAAAACCGCUCCGUCUUGAGGAGGCGGAACGAAGAGAAGAACCGCCGCCGUUAUCAACUCGGGCCACGAUUGGCCGAGCUCAGACGGUGCUCCCGGAGCGGCCAAUGGCGUCCUGGUCUCCGCUUUUCAAGGAUUCUCCCCCGAAAUCCUGGGUGUGGGCGAAGCCAGGAGGAUCGCGCGGGGGUGCAUAGCGUAGCCUUUCCUCGGCGGAUACGCGCACACAUACGCCGCCGAAGGAGGCCGCUGCCCACUGGUCACCACCCGAGGGUUCGUUUCCACCGGGAAACCCCCCACAUUUUCCUUCGCCUCUUUUUCUCCAUCCCUCUGACUCUUCCCCUCUUCCCUCCCCCGCGACUACUCCAUUCUUUCUUCCACCCGAACCCUCUUUCUUCCCUCGCCCCCUCGCCCCAACGACGAGCCCGAUUCCUACAAUAGCCCGCCUUUUUUUACUCGCUUUUUCUCCAAUUCCCGAGAUCUUUCUACUGUGCACAGCUCGCCACAUCCACCGCGCCGCAUCGCCUGUGGAAGCUGCUGCAUCAGAAUUGCCAACGAUAUACUUUACUUUAUCUCGAGGAGAUAGGGAUAGGAGGGACGAUAAGAGUCUUGAACCGUUAUAAUUGCAAUCUAUUUGUUCGUGAAACGUUUUUUUUUUCGCCCGAGAUAUCCAGUUUGAACUUCGUCGCUAACAUUUCGAAACGGGAAAAUGAGGUAAAAAAAAAAAAACGAGAUAUAUGGAUCGAGUCGGUUAAAUCUGAAUCUUCGAUCGAGGUUGCUCAGGGGCGAAAAAGUUAAAAUGUUAAUAGGAACGAUGGGUGUGCGUGGAAUCUUAAUUACUUCCUUUCGUCGCGUGUAUAAUAUUUAUUAGGAAUGAAUCGUGAAAGGAGGAAGAUGUGUGUAAAUAAAUAAAUAGGAUAAUCGUCAUGGUUAUUCUAGCUAAUAAGAUCUCUAAAGAUUUCCUCUCGCUUUGCUUGUUCGUAACUAUUUCUCUACUUGAGGAGAGAAUUAUGAAGAAGCUGCGAGUGACGUCGCAGCAUGUCGGGGACGAUAUAAGAGCGCCUUUAAGAUCCCUAGCCCCUGUCAGCUAGAGCUACUUGGUUUUUUCUUUUCCUUUUUUCUUUUCUCUCCCCUCCUCCCCGAUCUGUUAUCGUUGCCCGCUCGAACGAGUAGUAUACCACAGUUUUAUUAUUAUGCAGGCAUAAAAAUGUCGAACGUUCCGGACAAGAUGGCGGUAUCACGAAUAAUUCUAUCGCGUCUCGAUAACAUCUCUUCUUCCCUGAAAAGAUAAAAGAAAAAAGAGAAAAAAAAAGAAGAGCAA